rnacentral:rRNA from 1 species
UACGAAGGGGGGCUAGCGUUGUUCGGAAUUACUGGGCGUAAAGCGCGCGUAGGCGGCUUUGCAAGUCGGGUGUGAAAUCCCCAGGCUUAACCUGGGAACUGCAUUCGAGACUGCAUUGCUAGAGUAUGGGGAGAGGGAAGUGGAAUUCCCAGUGUAGCGGUGAAAUGCGUAGAUAUUGGGAGGAACACCAGUGGCGAAAGGCGGCUCACUGGACCGGUACUGACGCUGAGGCGCGAAAGCGUGGGGAGCAAACGGGG